GACGAACGCUGGCGGCGUGCUUAACACAUGCAAGUCGAACGGAAAGGCCCUGCUUUUGUGGGGUGCUCGAGUGGCGAACGGGGGAGUAACACGUGAGUAACCUGCCCUUGACUUUGGGAUAACUUCAGGAAACUGGGGCUAAUACCGGAUAGGGGCUACUGCUGCAUGGUGGGGGUUGGAAAGUUUCGGCGGUUGGGGAUGGACUCGCGGCUUAUCAGCUUGUUGGUGGGGUAGUGGCUUACCAAGGCUUUGACGGGUAGCCGGCCUGAGAGGGUGACCGGCCACAUUGGGACUGAGAUACGGCCCAGACUCCUACGGGAGGCAGCAGUGGGGAAUAUUGCACAAUGGGCGGAAGCCUGAUGCAGCAACGCCGCGUGCGGGAUGACGGCCUUCGGGUUGUAAACCGCUUUCGCCUGUGACGAAGCGUGAGUGACGGUAAUGGGUAAAGAAGCACCGGCUAACUACGUG
rnacentral:rRNA from 1 species